CCCUUAGAUGUUCUGGGCCGCACGCGCGCUACACUGAUGCAUUCAACGAGCCUAUCCUUGACCGACAGGUCCGGGUAAUCUUUGAAUCUGCAUCGUGACGGGGAUAGAUUAUUGCAAUUAUUAAUCUUCAACGAGGAAUGCCUAGUAGGCGCAAGUCAUCAGCUUGCGUCGAUUACGUCCCUGCCCUUUGUACACACCGCCCGUCGCUCCUACCGAUUGGGUGUGCUGGUGAAAUGAUCGGAUCGGCCGUUUGUCGCGGUUUCCGCGUCAUGUGGCUGAGAAGUUCAUUAAACCCUCCCACCUAGAGGAAGGAGAAGUCGUAACA
rnacentral:rRNA from 1 species